rnacentral:rRNA from 1 species
CCUCUGUGAACCGUGCCCUUCGGGGCUAUUUUACAAACAUGGUGUAAUGAACGUCAUAUAUCAUAACAAAACAAAACUUUCAACAACGGAUCUCUUGGCUCUCGCAUCGAUGAAGAACGCAGCGAAAUGCGAUAAGUAAUGUGAAUUGCAGAAUUCAGUGAAUCAUCGAAUCUUUGAACGCACCUUGCGCCCUCUGGUAUUCCGGAGGGCAUGCCUGUUUGAGUGUCAUGUAGACUCAAUCCCUCGGGUUUCCGAGGAGAUUGGACUUGGGUGUUGCCGCUCUGCCGGCUCGCCUUAAAAGACUUAGCGGGAUAGCACCGUAGUCGGCGUAAUAAGUUUCGUCGGUGAAGGUUGUGAUGACUGCUUACAAUCGCCCUCGGGCAAUUUUUGACUCUGACCUCAAAUCAGGUAGGACUACCCGCUGAACUUAAGCAUAUCAAUAAGCGGAGGAAAAGAAACUAACAAGGAUUCCCCUAGUAGCGGCGAGCGAAGCGGGAAGAGCUCAAAUUUGAAAGCUGG